rnacentral:lncRNA from 1 species
CACGGCCCUUAAAGGAGACGCCCUAAUCCCCAGUCCAGGCCUGGAAAGGAAGGAUAGAACUCCGAGCGGACCUAGGAAGAACUUCCCAGUUGAGCCAGGAAAGGGCCCUCUUGUCGAGUUACAGUCGGUGCGGAAGAGGAUAGAGCUGAGAGACAAAACGCCUCCUGCCCUUAAGAAGGCCGAGGAAGGAGGCAUUAACAGUUGUGCAGGUUCCGUGUGCACCAGCCCAGCUCGAGGUGGCCAGGCUAGUGGAGGUGCCUGGGAGACCCCCGAAAAGAGGACUGUGCAGCUCGAUAGGAGGCCACUUCGUCUCAGAAGCCGCCUAGAUCGUGUGGUCAGACCAGCGGGACAGAUGAGGGGGGCCGCAUCGGGGCCACCAGGGCGGCGGGCGGGGUGAGGUUGGCACGGUGCGGCCGGUGGCGGAACAGCCUUUGUCUCUUCCUGGCGGCCGCGGCGACGCGCCGUCCCCUGCAUGCGGAUGAGGCCGGGUCUUCCCUCCAACGCGGCCUCUGGG